GAUGAACGCUGGCGGCGUGCCUAAUACAUGCAAGUCGAGCGAACGGACGAGAAGCUUGCUUCUCUGAUGUUAGCGGCGGACGGGUGAGUAACACGUGGAUAACCUACCUAUAAGACUGGGAUAACUUCGGGAAACCGGAGCUAAUACCGGAUAAUAUUUUGAACCGCAUGGUUCAAAAGUGAAAGACGGCCUUGCUGUCACUUAUAGAUGGAUCCGCGCUGCAUUAGCUAGUUGGUAAGGUAACGGCUUACCAAGGCAACGAUGCAUAGCCGACCUGAGAGGGUGAUCGGCCACACUGGAACUGAGACGCGGUCCAGACUCCUACGGGAGGCAGCAGUAGGGAAUCUUCCGCAAUGGGCGAAAGCCUGACGGAGCAACGCCGCGUGAGUGAUGAAGGUCUUCGGGUCGUAAAACUCUGUUAUUAGGGAAGAACAUAUGUGUAAGUAACUGUGCACAUCUUGACGGUACCUAAUCAGAAAGCCACGGCUAACUACGUG
rnacentral:rRNA from 1 species